GACGAACGCUGGCGGCGUGCCUAAUACAUGCAAGUCGAGCGGACUGAAUGGGAGCUUGCUCUUGUUCGGUCAGCGGCGGACGGGUGAGUAACACGUGGGCAACCUGCCCGCAAGACCGGGAUAACUCCGGGAAACCGGAGCUAAUACCGGAUAACACCGAAGACUGCAUGGUCUUUGGUUGAAAGGCGGCGCAAGCUGCCACUUGCGGAUGGGCCCGCGGCGCAUUAGCUAGUUGGUGAGGUAACGGCUCACCAAGGCGACGAUGCGUAGCCGGCCUGAGAGGGUGACCGGCCACACUGGGACUGAGACACGGCCCAGACUCCUACGGGAGGCAGCAGUAGGGAAUCUUCCGCAAUAGGCGAAAGCCUGACGGAGCGACGCCGCGUGAGCGAAGAAGGCCUUCGGGUCGUAAAGCUCUGUUGUGAGGGACGAAGGAGCGCCGUUUGAAGAAGGCGGCGCGGUGACGGUACCUCACGAGGAAGCCCCGGCUAACUACGUG
rnacentral:rRNA from 1 species